GGGGGACCGAAGGCAGCGGCGAACCGGUCCGUCACAGAAAUACAACCCCACUGCUGGAAGGUUCCGGGGUCGUUCAAAAUAUGAAACCAAAAGAAAGAAUAUACAAUUGCGUUGGAUAUUUGAAACCUCCGUCGAAAACAACAACAGUCACUGAAGUCAUGGUUCAGGUCAUUUCCAGCUGUCAUGGGGUUAAAGCAGCAUCUCAGGACUGGUAAGUUCUUCUGCUGGAGAAUCCAGGAGAAUAGAGAUUCCAGAUCAAUCGGAGGCCAGAAAGAACAUGAUCUGAUCUCAGAGGACGUCAUCACUCUGCUCGACGUGGUUUCCAGACAACAGCCUCUCAUCAACUGAAACACAAAGAUUCUGCACAAGAAACUUGCCACUGUGUCACUGAUGAAGCUUCAACUGAAAAUUCCAGAAGAAUGAGUUGUGUUCCAGUUUCUAUUUGGCUCGGUCACACUUGAAUGAGGAAGAAGGAAAUGUGUCAAACAUAAGUGGUUUAAUCGAUCCCACUGUCAUAAUCACUGCAGUAAAACACUGGACGAGGUCACGUGCAAUAAAUGUCAAGAUCUAGAUGUUCCUGUGCACGUCGUGACUGACAAACUGUCUCUAGUGCGUGCGUGAGUGUGUGUGUGUGUGUGCGUGAGACAGGAUAACUAUGAAAUCCGCCCUUUCCUGGUGAUAAUCCCAGUAGUCUUUUUAUAUCUGCCUGACACAACAAUUCAAACUAUUUCAUCAGUCUCACUCUGUGGAUUCUUUUUUCAUGAUUAAAAAAUCUCCCUGCUUUUCUUUUC